rnacentral:rRNA from 1 species
ACGGAGAGUUUGAUCGUGGCUCAGGAUGAACGCUGGCGGCGUGCCUAAUACAUGCAAGUCGAGCGAUGAGGCCCCUUCGGGGGUACAUCAGCGGCGAACGGGUGAGUAACACGUGGGUGACCUACCCCGAAGACGGGGAUAACCCUUGGAAACGAGGGCUAAUACCCGAUGUGCUCGGCAGUUCGUUCUGUCGAGUAAAGCUCCGGCGCUUCGGGAUGGGCCUGCGGCCCAUCAGCUAGUUGGCGGGGUAACGGCCCACCAAGGCGAAGACGGGUAGGGGGCGUGAGAGCGCGGUCCCCCACACUGGCACUGAGACACGGGCCAGACUCCUACGGGAGGCAGCAGUCGGGGAUAUUGCACAAUCGGCGCAAGCCGGAUGCAGCGACGCCGCGUGGGCGAGGAAGGCCUUCGGGUUGUAAAGCCCUUUUCUGGGGGAAGAGGAAGGACGGUACCCCAGGAAUAAGCGUCGGCUAACUACGUGCCAG